rnacentral:rRNA from 1 species
UACGGGGGGGGCAAGCGUUGUUCGGAAUUACUGGGCGUAAAGGGUUCGUAGGUGGCUUGUUAAGUCAGGGGUGAAAUCCUGGAGCUCAACUCCAGAACUGCCUUUGAUACUGGGAAGCUCGAGUCCGGGAGAGGUGAGUGGAACUCCGAGUGUAGAGGUGAAAUUCGUAGAUAUUCGGAAGAACACCAGUGGCGAAGGCGGCUCACUGGCCCGGUACUGACGCUGAGGUGCGAAAGCGUGGGGAGCAAACAGG